GGGAGAUAGAGAUGGAGAGAGGGAUAGAGACCCAAAUAGAAAGAGAGAGAGAGCGCAAAAGAGAUGGAUAGAGGGAGACUGGGAUGGAGGGAGGGAGAGAGAGAGAGAUGGAGAGAUCCAAAUAGGAAGAGAGAGGGCAAAUAGCAUGGACAGAUUGAGACAUAGCAAGAAGUAAAGAAAGAGGAAGAGACGGGUAAAGAGAUUAGUAAUAAUAUAAUAUUUAAGGAUUUGUUUGUCAAAAUAUAAGGAUGUAUUUGUAAAUCAAAGGGAAAAAUAUACAAAAGUAUCAUGUACUUUCGAACUUUAAUCAUGUGUGCUUUCAUCCUUUUCUGCUUAGGUCCCAAAACAAAUAAUAGCAAUAAAAUUAUUGAUUUGGCAUUGACUUGUCACUGACAUGGCGUUGAUGUCAGUGAUACGUCUAUUCCAUGUUACACGUGCCUGGCACGUCAGUGAAUAUUUGCCUCUGUUAGUAACUAUGUCCCUUAAAUGCUAAUAGCAUUAAACCACAAGCCAUAAAGUGCAACAAGAAAACCUUAAGCGACUUUUAUUAACAUGCGUAAAUCAUAGGGCAUUUAAGUGUACUUUUGCCCUAGAAUUAAACAAUAACAUUGUAUGAUAAUUAGUUUAGGUGCCACUACGUCAACUUGAUGCUUCACUUUUUCAAAACUUCUUGUUACUAAAUUCGAUUUUGUUUGAAAAAAAAUGCAAUAAUUAAAAGUAUGCUUAAGUUUUCUUUAAAACAACUACAACUAAGUUGUAAUUGCUGAAAAGAAGGUUGAGAGGAGAAAAGUACGAGAGAGAUUGAGGUGAGAGAAGCAUGUAUUCUUCCCUUUAUGCUACAAUGCUAAUUUA
rnacentral:misc_RNA from 1 species